CCGCCGGCCAGCGCCCCCACCUCCCCGCCCCGCCCCCACAACUGACCAGCGGCUUCUUCACUACCUCCCUCCGGCGCUGGCCAGCGCGACGCCACCUACCUACGCCAUCCCGCCCAACACCAACCGGCCUCGUCCACCUCCGCAUCGAACGGCGCCCCUACCACCUUCCUCGGCGCCCGGAGCCCACCAGCCGCCGUCCAUCGCGCCCCAGCCCGCCUCGCGCCGUCCCCGUCCCUCCCGCGACGCCCCACCCUCACCUACCCCGGAUCUGUCCCGGCGAGCGCGGCUGUCGAAUCCCCGAGCCACCUUCUCCACCCCGGCGUGAAUCCACGUCGUCCCCACCCGACCCCGCUGCCGGAUCCAGGGCCAUCGCGACGGCACACUGCCGAAUCCAGGAUGCGCCACCACCAGCGCUCAUCAAACCAUGAGCUCCACGACGCGCCACCGCCCGGCCUUCUCCAUGGCGCAGGAUUCCACCUCAUGCAGUUCGGCCGCCAGACUUGGAAGUGCGUCAGGUUGCGCGAUGUGGUGCGGCGGCGCAUGGCCGUGCAGUUCGCGGCCACCACAGGCCCCCUCACCUAUACCUCCACGGUCGCAUCCUCAACCAGCGGCUCUCUCCCCUCGUCGUCGGCCACGGCACCGCAGCCUGGGAUCAUGGCAGCUUGGCGACCAUGGCAGUGCAGCUCGGAGGCACUCGUGAUGUGGUUCAGUGCUCACGGGAUUGCAAAAUUGGGCGUUUUUAUGUGCGGAUGGAAAUUCAUCAUCACAGAGUGUAGCUGCAGUUUGGGCGAGUCGUGCGUGUGAUCAUGGUGUGCAGAGGCGUGGCAAGUAGUUCGCUGGGCGCGACGGUGCUGUUCACUUCCUUUUCUCUCUUUUCAAAAACAAAGUGUUGAGGCUCGUCUUGUGUGCAGGUCCCUAUGUUCAUAUUGGCAUGUGUGUGAUAAUCAUCCCUCUGUGUAUCUGUAGUUCGCUAUGUUCUCCAGCUAGCUCAACUACUACUCGUUAGCGUUGGCUGCCUCCUGUUGGCCAAAUGAAGGAGGAGCGGUUUUCAGCCCACCCGUCGCUGGCGUGCAGUUUGUGUGUGCGUGGUCUAGCCCAACCACGGCAUGAUCCUCUCCAUUCUCCCAGGCAUCGACUUGGCCAAUGACGACGUGAAGUGCGGCCAACGACGACUUGCAGUACGACCAAUGAUGGCGUGCAGUGUCGCCACCAGCAGCACCUCAGACGUGGGGGCCACGCCGUGCUCCUCUAGUCUGCCGGAGACGCGAAAGGAGCAGCUCCUCCGCCAACGGUCGCAGCCUCCAACCUCCUGUACCUUCGAACUAGCCGACCCCCCUUCUCCACCUGCUUCGUCUGCUUGCCGGUCAGCCGGUCUCCAACUUGCAGAGAUGCAGUACGAUUAGGCGUGCCAUGCAGUUUAGCAGUGCUCUUCUACACUUCACUAAUUUUGUGAUUUAUGAAGAGAAAAAAUAAUGCAAAUGAAGUUUGCUAUGGUUUGCUAUUGAGGUUCAUUUUACUCA